UAGUAUUUUCCGGUUGAUAAGAAAACACCAAAGAACAAGAAAUAUUAGGAAUAAUAUAUUUUAAACAGGAUUUCAUACAUUUAAUUAUUUUAAUUUUUCAAAACAGUUAUUUAUAAGGUAAUUUAUAAAUAUGGCAUCUACGUCAAGAGAUUCUCAAGAAGUUAUAGCAAAAAAAACAUGGGAAUUAGAAAACAAUGUGCAGACUAUUAAUACAGUUGAUGAUAUUUUUAAAUAUGACAGACAACAGCAACAAGAUAUCCUGACUGCCAAACCUUGGGAGAAAGAUCCACAUUAUUUUAAAGAGAUUAAAAUAUCUGCGUUAGCUUUAUUAAAAAUGGUAAUGCAUGCUCGAUCUGGUGGUAUUUUAGAAAUAAUGGGUUUAUUACUUGGAAAAGUUGAAGGUAAUACCAUGAUUGUCAUGGAUUCUUUUGCCUUACCUGUUGAAGGAACGGAAACUAGAGUCAAUGCUCAAGCCCAGGCCUAUGAAUAUAUGACAGCAUACAUUGAAUCAGCCAAAGUUGUUGGACGUCAAGAAAAUGCCAUUGGUUGGUAUCACAGUCACCCUGGCUAUGGAUGCUGGUUAUCUGGUAUUGAUGUUUCAACACAAAUGUUGAAUCAAAAUUUUCAAGAACCGUUUGUGGCAAUUGUAAUUGAUCCAGUUAGAACAAUUUCUGCUGGUAAAGUGUGUUUGGGCGCAUUCAGAACUUAUCCAAAGGGAUAUAAGCCAGCAAAUGAAGAACCAUCUGAAUAUCAAACUAUUCCAUUAAAUAAAAUUGAAGACUUUGGGGUGCAUUGCAAACAAUACUACUCAUUAGAAGUAAACUAUUUUAAAUCUUCAUUGGAUCGACGUUUAUUGGAUUCUUUAUGGAAUAAAUAUUGGGUGAAUACAUUGAGUUCAUCCAGUUUAAUGACCAAUGCUGAUUAUUUAACUGGCCAAAUUAAUGAUCUUUCUGAUAAACUGGAACAAGCUGACACUUCUCUUAGUCGUACCUUUUUUGAACCUGUAGACCGAACCAAAGCAGAGAACAAAUUAGUUAAAGCUACGAAAGACAGCAAUAAAGCUACAAUUGAAAUAUUAUGUGGAUUAAUGUCACAGACAGUAAAAGAAGCUCUAUUUAAUAGUUGUACACCCAAGAAUAACCAACAAUAAAAAUAUAAUCUCUUGGAAACCGAAAAAGACGAAAAUCUCUACGUGAAUUGGAACAGUUUACCGCUGUACAACCACCCAUCUUUGAGGAAGUGAGGAGUGGAUCACUAUAUCGUGUUAAAUUUCAAUGCAAUGAUGGUUACCUAUCAAGUUUUAACUACGAUCACUAUCAAAAAAAUUCUAACGGAAAACAGUUAGUACAAUUUAAGAGCAUUUGAAAUUUAAAUUUUUAUGAAAUCGGAAAUUCACGAGAUAAAUAUCGAUUUUUGAUUUUUGUGUUUAUUUUAAAAGUAAUCAUCGUAAGAACUUAAAACUUGUACUAGAUAUUUAAAUUAGCAUUUUCUUAACAUAAAAUAAUUUUCAAAGUAUUUCACUAAUUGUUAAGCUGCCUAUUUAAAGGAAUUUAAAAUAUUAAAUUUUAAUAAAAAAAUUUCGCUCGAACGAAAUGUUUAAAAAUCAUAUAUAAGAAUCCAUAUAGUUUAAUCUUUCAGUAGUUUUAAAAUUAAAAAAAUACACAGGCACAUUUUUUUUAUAAGUGUUUAAAGUUCAAAUUCUUAUGAAAUCCAUCAAAAUAAUGAAAAUAUACAAACUAUUUUGUAGUGAUAAAAGUAGAAAAUUUUGAAAAUUGAAUACAAGGUUUCUCAUAAGUUGUUAGUAAAUAGUAGUGAAAGAAAAAAUGUAAUAAAAAAAAAAAUUCUAUGCUGACAGAUCAUCAAGGGUGUUUUUGAAGGGGGGGGGUGGCGUGAAGGAGGCAUUAGCCUCCCCCCAUGGCUUGUAUUAUUUUUUAAUAUAAUAUAUUGAUUUAUUUAAAAAAUGUAAU
rnacentral:misc_RNA from 1 species